AUGGGGCCAACCUGGCCACGCGUCCCAGCCUUUUCCCAUUUUGCUUCCUGUGCUCAUGGUUUACUGAACAUGUCACAGGCCCAGCUGGAGCGCAAGCGUCUGUGGGAAACGAGGGUGUGUGCAGAGUGCAGCCCUCCGAGCCUCGUGGAGAAACUGCACAGGGCUUCGGGGAAGACACUGGUGAGUGGUCCUGCAGGGAAGGCCUGGCCCGUGGUGGGCGCCCGGUCCUGUGAGCUUGGUUGGGUCAGGGGUCACCCAGAAAAUAACCACCUUCCACUUCCUUUAAUUAUGCAAACUAGAGCGAGGUGACUGAGAUCUUGCCUCUGGUCUGCAAGACACAGGGAGUUUUGCAAGCCCCAGGGAGUGCAGAAUUUCCUGAAGAUGUUGCACAGGGGCUGGCUUUUGCUGAAGUCGUACAGUAUUCUCCUUUGCUUUGGUUAUGACUGCAGAGGUGCUGGGAAGCCGACUGGAGAGCAGCACCAUGGAGCGGCCGGCUCCUCUCCGUGGGAGGCGCCGCCCGCUCUUUGAGAGGGAAGGGCUCGGCUCUGCUGCCUUGGGCUAAAAGCACUGUGAUCCAGUUCCACCUCCUGGCUCCUUCAUUGGUAAUUGGUUUUCCAAAAUGCAAGGAUUUUUGCUGACCAACAGGGACCUGAAGGCUUGAAAAUUUAGACAGCAGAGAGCUAGGUGGCUGAGAUUUUACAAAAGUCCGUAUUUUGCUAGUUUAAUCUGGGAAAGGACGCACAACCCAAAGAAUAGGAGCCUUGUUGCAGAAGAACCAAUUUCAUUCACCAGGGUAUUUUACCAGUAGUCGCGCUGGGCACCUGGCUAGGCAGUCACCGCCCCAUGCUUCUCAGCUCCAGGCGGAGCUGCAGCGGGAGGAGAGCCUGGACGUGCUGCCAUCCCGGGAGCCGGGCCCGACUCGCUCAGGCCUUUCUAGACCCAUUUCAGGUGAGUCACCCCUGCUCCCCACGCCCCCUCAGCCCAGCAGAGGUGACCUGGCCCUCCUUCCUCCUUUUUUCCUACCAGGGCCUCUGACGUGAGGCUAUUAGCCAUUCAGACUUCACACUGUAGCCCUUUCCUUGCAUCUCGGGAAAUCUUUAAAUGAGCAGGCAGAUUACCUAGUCUCUGGACAGAACCAUAAGCACAAGACACUGCGUGAUAUGUUACAGAGACUCCACUAAGUAUAGUAAGUCUGCUGGGGUUUUCAAGGGUUUGAGAAUCUCAAGGUGAUGGAAUUAUUCAAAGGGCAAGAUUUUUUUUAAGUCUCCAUUCUCUGAGUAUAACAGCGUAUGAACUAGUUCCUGAAGUA
rnacentral:lncRNA from 1 species